UACAGAGGGUGCAAGCGUUAAUCGGAAUUACUGGGCGUAAAGCGCGCGUAGUCGGUUAUUUAAGUCGGAUGUGAAAUCCCCGGGCUCAACCUGGGAAUUGCAUUCGAUACUGGAUAGCUAGAGUUCGGCAGAGGGAAGCGGAAUUUCUGGUGUAGCGGUGAAAUGCGUAGAUAUCAGAAGGAACAUCAGUGGCGAAAGCGGCUUCCUGGACCAGAACUGACGAUCAGGCUCGAAAGCGUGGGGAGCAAACAGG
rnacentral:rRNA from 1 species